GACGAACGCUGGCGGCAGGCCUAACACAUGCAAGUCGAACGAGUGGCGGACGGGUGAGUAAUGUCUGGGAAACUGCCCGAUGGAGGGGGAUAACUACUGGAAACGGUAGCUAAUACCGCAUACCAUCGGAUGUGCCCAGAUGGGAUUAGCUAGUAGGUGGGGUAAUGGCUCACCUAGGCGACGAUCCUUAGCUGGUCUGAGAGGAGGACCGGCCACACGGGAACUGAGACACGGUCCAGACUCCUACGGGAGGCAGCAGUGGGGAAUAUUGCACAAUGGGCGCAAGCCUGAUGCAGCCAUGCCGCGUGUAUGAAGAAGGCCUUCGGGUUGUAAAGUACUUUCAGCGGGGAGGCGGUACUCGCAGAAGAAGCAUCGGCUAACUCCGUGCCAGCAGCCGCGGUAAUAC
rnacentral:rRNA from 1 species